GGAAUAGGGAGCAUUUUAUUUUAAUCUCCCAUUUUCUCACCUCAAAAAAGCUCUUACUCAGUCUGGUCUCAAUCCUAACAUCCUUUGCUUCCUUCGUCUCCUACCAGUAGCAGUCCUCCCUUAGUGGAAACAAAUCUACCGUUGUGACAAAUACAACUGUAGAGAUUAAAGUUCCUGAGAAUGUUAUUAACUCUGUUUAUGGGGAGAAUGGUCGCAAUCUAGCUCCCUUAAAAGAGCUAAAAGACUGGUUGAAGGUAGCAACACGAAGGGGAAAGAUAUCCUCAAGGGUUUGCUAAGUGUGUUAUUGCUUUAUUUUCUUCUUUGGCUUACUUGAUUGCUUCCUCCACCCACAAUUAAACAUCUUGUAUUCACUGAAUCACUGUAAGUUCUUUGGCAAUUAAAUUCUUUGAUUUUGUUUUACUGUUAUUGAAAUUACUAUUGAAGAAAUGUGACCCUUUACUAUGAUUUGAAGAUAUGUAACACUUUAAUAUCUUGCAGUAACGGCUCGUCUGCCUUUAAUAGUACAAAGUGAGAGGUGUAAAAGAAUUGGUCUAGCAUUGAUAGUAUGGUUGCAAAUGUGUACAGUUGCGAGUUGGUUCUUAGUUACACUGGGUGUCAUCCAUAUCCUAAAUACUUAUAGACCAAUGAUUAUGUAAAACCCUGAAUAAUUUAUUUCUGUUUCUGUAAAUACUUAACACAAAUAUGUAUUUGCUUUAGGGAGUGUUUUGGUCCCACAGUUGCAAAUUUUGGUUAUUUUUAGGUCCAAGCCUUAUCCUUGUUGAGUAGGCUUAUAUAAAAUUGUCUGUUAAUCCAUAUCAUAAUAAGCUUGCUGGUUCGAGUGGUAAGGUGUUAGUGUGCUGAAGAUCCUGUGUUUGAAUCCUUGCAUGAGCAGGGGUGAUAGUUUUUGCUUUGAUUGACUAUGAAAAUUUGAGUGGAGUCGAAAUUUUGAGAGUGGAUAAGGUUAGUGGUCGGUUUUUUGGAGAUUUGGUGGUUGGUAGGAGGUUGUGCCUAAAAUUGAGGGAUUUUAUUUGAUUUGUUUAUCUUUUUAUCUUGAAUUUUUCUCUCUCUUCCAAAUUUUUGACAUUAGUUUUCUGCCAUUCCUUUUGGGUUUUGCCGUUUGGUCCUCUUGUUCAUCCUCUACAUUUUUUUCUGUCUUUUUUGUUUUCUUCCAAAUUGGUUCACAUUUUUCUAUCCUUCACGCGGUCUUGGUAAGUUUUUCGUUUCAUUCUCGUUUUUGUGGCGUAACAAUAGUUGUAAGAAAUCUGAAUUCUACAAACAGUUGUGUAGGUGAAGGCGGUGAAGCUGUGAUUUAUGCUUCAACAGUUUAAUUUUCGUGUGUAGUCAUUCCUGCGAUGGUAAGUUUUGAGCGCUGCUCGAUUUAGUUUUGUUGAAUUCGUUAAUCGUUUGCUAACAGGGUAUUGAGAUUCUGUCUUUAGGUGUUGGUGGUCUCAGGACUGGUUUCGUAUCAAACUGUAUUAGGUGUGUUCCCAAAACGCAGAAAAUUGGGUUUCAGCGAAAGCCAAAAAAAUAUUCUGUCGAUGCCACACGGGCAUGUGUCUGGCCGUGUGGUUGGCUGUGUGUGAGAAACGAUCGUGUGUCUGACGAAGCUGCGGACUUACGCAAGACACGACCGUGUGAUGACGUGAGUGUGGCCGUGUGGGCUACACGGGAGUGUGGGUUUUAGGCUAGGCUAUAUGGGCCACACGGGUAAGGCCAAUCUGGAAGUGUGGGCCUAUAGGAGCAAGCCACACGGGCAUGUGGGCCCAUAAUUUUGAAAUUUUCCCUAGGGUCGCAUGGGUCGUUCCAAUCGAUUGUGGGCCUACCGUAGAGUUGGUAAAGGAUAACCAAACCCUAAAUUAUGUGAUCUGAUAUUCUAAUAGUCUGCUCUGAGUAGGACAUCGUUAUGUAUGUCUAGAUAUUCUAUAUAUAUGUUGUUUGUAUACGAGCAUGUUAAGCAGGAUAUUUCUACAUAUGUAUCCUGUAUCUAUGAUGGGGGUGAGAAUCGUAUAUGUGGAGGAAGUGAUCUGUAUGGCGACUCUUAGCCUAUAUUCUGACAACCUGACUACAUAUUUUCUGUUAUGUGUCGUAUCGACAGUAUAUGGUGUGUAGGGAUGGGUGGGUGUUUUUAACCCCACAUGGUGUGAUGGGAUGGUCGGAGUUGGUGUGUAGAGGAUGGGGGUAAUCCACAGACAUAAGCGGAUCGGUACGGCGGAGUCUCACGGUGACCACCAGUUGAUAAAUUUGAAAAUAUACGAUGAGUGCUCGUGGAACUCGCGGUUGUGGUAUUCGUGGGUGCGAUAGGGGCCGUAGGGGGCUCGAGCUGAGUUUUCCUUUUGGGCAGUAUACCAAAUUUGGACACGAGUGAGACACCGGUUUCACCAGCUAUUGAGAUUGGGUUUUAAAGCUGCUCGGUUGAGGACGACGCACUAUCCCAAGCCAUGUUCAGAGUGUUGGAAAAGGUCGUUGGACCCCAUUCUAGAUCUGGGGGCCGUGGGUCGGUAACUGAACGAUUCCGGUGCAAUGGAGCUGAGCUGUUUAGGGGAGUCAUUGGAGCCACCCCUACUGUGGCCAAGUAUUGGUUGGAGGCCACUGAGAGAAUUAUGAAAGAUAUCGACUGUACUCCUGUGCAAAAAUUAAAGGGUAUAGUCUCUUUGUUUUGCGAUGAGGCGUAUUAGUGGUGGUUGUCGGUUGAGAAGGGUACUUAAUCGGAUCGUCUGAACUGGGAUUAUUUUAAUACUGCCUUCCAGGGCAUGUAUGUGGGCGAGAGCUAUGUUGAUGCUCGUAGACGUGAGUUCAUGAAUCUCACGUAUGGAGAUAAAUCUGUGGCCAAGUAUGAGGUUGAGUUUUUGAGGUUGAGCAGCUACGCUUGAGAGAUGGUGGCAUCUGGGUAUGAAAAAUGUGUCCAUUUUGAGGACGGUUUGAAGGACAGUUUGAGGGUUCUUAUUGCUCCGUAGAGGAAGCGUGAGUUUGCUGUUCUGGUGGAUAAGGCGAAGAUCACCGAAGAGGUUAAGCGCGUGGAGCGCUAGAAUAAGGAUCUUGAGAGAGGCAAGAAUAAAAGGGAUUUAGAGCCCUCUAGUUCUAUUUAGAGGCCUAAGAAAUGAGCCAGACCUGAUGGGCCUGUUAGAGGGGGUUCCUAUUACCCCUAUUAAGAUUCAGCCAUGUGGUGAUUGUGGUAGGCAUCAUCCGGGCAAGUGUUGGAAGAGGUUAGGGGCUUGUCUGAGGUGUGGGUCUUUGGAGCAUCGGAUUAGAGAGUGUCCAUAGUGUACUGAUCAGAUGCAAGCUUCAGCACCGAGUUCUGUAUAGCCUCAGAGGGCAGUUCAACAACCACCUAGGGGCCAUAGACCAGCUAUGGGUGGUAAUGGUAUGGGUCGAAGACAGAGAGCACCGAGCAGAUAUGCUAAUCAGUUUGAGGUGAGGCAACCUGUAUUGGUUUAUGCUACUCGACACCGAGAGGAUAGAGAUGCUUUUGAUGUGAUCACGGGUAUGUUUUUAAUUUUUGAUGCUUCAUAUAUUGCCUUGAUAGACAUAAGUUCUACUCAUUCUUAUGUAGCUAGUAUUGUUUCUGAGAACUUGGGGAUUUCUGUUGAGUGUACUUUUAGUGAUAUUACCAUACUGAGUCUGUUGGGGCAGUCUAUUCGAGUAAGUAGACUUUAUAGGAAUGUUCUGUUAGAAGUACAAGGGACUGUGUUUCCGGUAAAUCUGAUAGAGCUACUGUUUGGGGAGUUCGACUUAAUUCUGGGUAUGGAUUGGUUGGUUGAGCACUGAGUUAGUCUGGACUGUGCGACUAAGAGGGUUUUUCUGAGGACCAAGGAUGAUAAGGAAAUAGUUGUGAUCGGUGAGCGUCGAGAUUAUAUGUCUAAUGUAAUCUCCACUCUGGUGGCUGAGAAAUUGGUUCGAAAAGGGUGUGAGGCGUAUUUGGCUUUCGCAAGUGUUUCAAUUUCUUAGGACUCUUCCGUCAGGGAUAUCAGAACUGUGAGUGAAUUUUCGGAUGUCUUUUCUGAGGAGUUACUGGGUUUACCUCGAAAUUGAGAAGUUGAGUUCGGAAUUGAGCUUCUACUGGGUACAGCUCCGGUGUCCAUCGCUCCAUACCGUAUGUCACUAAAGGAGCUUACCGAGCUUAAGGCUUAACUUCAAGAGCUUCUAGAUCGUGGUUUCAUCCAUCCUAGUGUGUCCCCGUAUAGGGCACCAGUUCUGUUUGUAAAGAAAAAGGAUGGUACCAUGAGGAUGUGUAUUGACUACUGGCAGUUGAAUAAACUGACUAUGAAGAAUAAGUACCCACUUCCGAGGAUCGACGAUUUGUUUGAUCAGUUUCGAGGGGUUUCAGUGUUUUCAAAAAUAGAUCUCUGUUCUGGGUAUCAUCAGCUUAGAGUUAAGGAAGGGGAAGUUCAUUAAACAACAUUUAGGACUCGUUAUGGGCACUACGAGUUCCUAGUUAUACCCUUUGGUUUGACGAAUACUCCAGCUACAUUCAUGGAUCUGAUAAACUGAUUUUUUCAGCCGUUUCUAGAUCAGUUCAUCGUGGUCUUCAUCGAUGAUAUUUUCGUUUACUCUAAGACUGAGUUUGAGCAUGAUGAGCAUUUUAGAGUAGUGCUUCAGAUCCUCUGAGAGAAACAACUCUACGCUAAGUUGAGCAAGUGUGAGUUCUGGUUGCGAAAGGUAACUUUUCUGGGGCACGUCAUUUCUGCUUAAAGGAUCCGAGUUGAUCCUAGAAAGAUUGAGGUUGUGCUUGAUUGGAAACAGCCUAAGAACGUAUCUGAGAUUCGCAGUUUUCUGGGUUUUGCGGGAUAUUAUCAGCGAUUUGUUGAGGGAUUCUCUUUGAUUGCAGCUCCUUUGACUAAACUUCUGUGCAUGAGUGUUCCUUUUGUCUGGAUUGAUGCGUAACAAUUGAGCUUUGAGAAGCUCAAGUCUGUUCUGACUCAGGCUCCUGUUUUGAUACAGCCUUAAUAUAGUAAAGAGUUUAUGGUGUACAGUAAUGUGUUACACAUCGGUUCAGGAUGUGUGCUGAUCUAAGAUGGUAAGGUUGUGGCUUACGCGUCCUGUCAGCUUAAGUCACACAAGGGGAAUUAUCCAACGCAUGAUCUCAAGUUAGCUGCUAUGGUUUUUGUGUUAAAGAUUUGGAGGCACUAUUUGUAUGGUGAGAGGUGUAUUAUCUACACCGAUCAUAAAAGCCUCAAAUGCUUCCUUACUCAGAAGGAGUUAAAUCUUAGGCAGCGUAGAUGGACUGAACUGUUUAACGAUUAUGACUGCACGAUAGAGUAUCAUCCUAGUAAGGCCAAUGUGGUGGCUGAUGCUCUCAGUCGUAGAGCGAUGACUAACUUGAGUGCGAUGUUUGCUCGUCUUAAUUUGUUCGAUGACAGAAGUUUGUUAGUCGAGUUGUAAGUUAAGUCGACUUGGUUUGAUCAAAUUCGGCAGUUAGGGGAUGAGUCUUUAGUUUCACGGUUUCGCCAGGUUGAGAGUGGCAGUACAUCUGAUUUUGGGCUGAAUAAAGAUGGGGUUCUGUGUUUUCGAGGUUGGGUUUGUGUACCGAAUGAUUUUGAUUUGAGACAGUUGAUUUUGAGGGAGGUGCAUAGUAGCCCUUAUGCUAUGCAUCCUGAUGGUAAUAAAAUGUAUCGAGAUCUCCGUGAACUGUAUUGGUGGUCGGGUUUGAAACGUGAGUUAACAGAUUUUGUUACUCGUUAUCUAGCGUGUCAGCAGGUGAAAACUGAGUACUAGUUGCCUUCGGGUUUGCUCCAGCCUGUUAAGAUUUCCUUAUGGAAGUGGGAACGAGUGACGAUGGAUUUCGUUAGUGGGUUGCCCUUGACACCUGCUAAGAAGGAUUCUGUUUGGGUCAUCGUGGAUCGAUUGACCAAGUUCACCCAUUUUAUUCUGGUUCGAAUAGACUACUCUCUGUAAAAGUUAGCGAAGCUCUAUAUCUCUGAGAUUGUAAGACUACAUGGGGUUUCGGUUUCGAUAAUCUCUAAUAGGGAUCCUUGGUUUACUUCCCUGUUUUGGAAUAAACUGCAUGAGGCUCUGGGUUCAAGAUUGGACUUCAGUACUGCGUUCCAUCCUCAGGCCGAUGGUUAAUCUGAGAGGGUGAUUCUGUUACUAGAGGAUAUGCUUUAGAGUUGUGUGAUUGAUUUCCGAUGUAGUUGGUAGAUUUUUUGUUGUUAGCUGGUUUCGCCUACAAUAACAUUUUCCAGCCUAACUUCCAGAUGGCACCUUAUGAGGCUUUGUAUAUUUGUAAGUGUCGUACUUCGCUAUGUUGGACUAAGUUGGGUGAGCAAUGAAUUUUGGGUCCUGAGUUGGUUUUUGAGACUAAAGAUAGGGUUAGACUGAUUCGGGAUCAUCUGAAGGUGGCUUCCAAUAGACAUAUAUCUUAUGCAGAUCUGAAAAAAGAGAUAUUGAGUACAUUGUGGGUGACUUCAUUUUUUUAAGGUUUCUCCGUAACAAAAGUUUUGAGGUUUGGUCGUAAGGGUAAGUUGAGCCCUAGGUUCAUCGGGAUAUAUCAAAUUCUGAAGUGUGUGCGACCUAUUGAUUAUCAGUCGGAGCUACCUCUAGAGUUGGACCGUAUCUAUGAUAUGUUUCACGUCUUGGUGUUGAGGCGGUACCGGUGUGAUCCAUCUCACGUUGUCUCUAUUAAGAAGAUCUAGGUUAGAUCGGAUUUGACUUUUAAGGAGGAGCCAGUUUAAAUUUUAGAUCGAUAUAUUAAGGUUCUGAGGAGGAAGUCCAUACCAUUAGUGAAGGUUUUGUAGUAGAAUCAUGGCACUAAGGAAGCCCCGUGGGAACCUGAGGACUCGAUGUGUAUGCAGUAUCCUCAUAUGUUUGGAUCAGGUGAAGGCGGUGAAGCUGUGAGUUUUGCUUCAACGGUUUUUCGUGUGUAGUCAUUCCUAUGGUGGUGCUAAUGGUCUCGGGACUGGUUUCGCAUCAAAUCAUACGAGGUGUGUUCUCAAAACGUAAAAAAUUGGGUUUCAGCGAAAGUCGAAAAAGUAUUCUGUCGAUUCAACACGGGUGUGUGUCUGGCCAUGUGGUUGGUCGUGUCUCAGUCGUGUGUGAGACACGACUGUGUGAUGGUGUGAGUGUGGCUGUGUGGGCCACACGGGCUAGGCCAGAUUAGGUGGGUGGGCCUCUCGAGCAUGUGAUUUUUGGGCCAGGCCGUGUGGGCCACACGAGUAAGGCCAAUCUGGGUGUGUGGGCCACAUGGGCAUAUGGGCCCAUAAUUCUUAAAUUUUCCCUAGGGUCGCACGGGUCGUUUUGAUCAACUGUGGACCUACCGUAGGGUCAGUAAGAGAUAACCAAACCAUAAAUUAUGUGAUCUGAUAUUCUGAUAGUUUGCUCUAAGUAGGACACUAUUAUGUAUGUCUAGCUAUUCUAUAUAUAUGUUGUAUGUAUGCGAGCAUGUUAAGCAUGAUAUUUCAACAUUUGUAUCAUGUAUCUAUGAUUAGGGUGAGAAUCGUAUAUAUGGAGGAAGUGAUCUGUAUAACGACUCUUCGCCUAUAUUCUGGUAGCCUGAUUGCAUAUU